rnacentral:rRNA from 1 species
UACAGAGGGUGCGAGCGUUAAUCGGAAUUACUGGGCGUAAAGCGCACGUAGGUGGCUUUGCAAGUCGAUUGUGAAAUCCCCGGGCUUAACCUGGGAACUGCAGUCGAGACUGCUCUGCUUGAGUAUGGGAGAGGGAGGUGGAAUUUCCGGUGUAGCGGUGAAAUGCGUAGAUAUCGGAAGGAACAUCGGUGGCGAAGGCGACCUCCUGGACCAAUACUGACACUCAAGUGCGAAAGCGUGGGGAGCAAACAGG